rnacentral:rRNA from 1 species
CAUUAUCGUACAAAAUGUGAGGGGCAUGUGAGGGCUGUCGCCGACUCAAAGUCGUGCACGCCCGAGCGUGUCCUCUCACAUAAUAAUCCAUCUCACCCUUUGUGCAUCGCCGCGUGGGCACCCUUUGGGAUCAUCUCGGAGGGGGCUCGCGUUUUCACACAAACCCCCCUUUUAAAAGUGUAGAAUGACCUCAUUUAUGCGCUAACCCGCAAUCAAUACAACUUUCAACAACGGAUCUCUUGGCUCUCGCAUCGAUGAAGAACGCAGCGAAAUGCGAUACGUAAUGUGAAUUGCAGAAUUCAGUGAAUCAUCGAAUCUUUGAACGCACCUUGCGCCCCUUGGUAUUCCGAGGGGCACACCCGUUUGAGUGUCGUGAAAACCUCAACCUCUUUGGUUUCUUCUGGAGACCAAAGCAGGCUUGGACUUUGGAGGCCUUUGCUGGCACCUCUCUCUUUUGAAGGUCAGCUCCACUUAAACGAAUUAGCAGGGUCCUCUUUGCCGAUCCUCGACGUGUGAUAAGAUGUUUCCAUGUCUUGGUUUCUGGCUCUGUCACUUUUGGGACCCGCUUCUAACCGUCUUGACCUUGCGUCGAGACAAGUGUUCGAGCAUGUCUCCCUUCUUGGGAAGCUCCCUCGACCCCACGAACCCUUG